rnacentral:rRNA from 1 species
AUACGGGCAGCCCUAGUGGCGUCCACGCAUAUUGGGCCUAAAGCGUCCGUAGCCGGUCCAGGGGAGUCCCUGGUGAAAUCGGACGGCUUAACCGUUCGGCUUGCCAGGGAAACCACUGGACUAGGGACCGGGAGAGGCCGGAGGUAUUCCCGGGGUACCGGUAAAAUGGUAUAAUCCCGGGAGGACCUAUGGUGGCGAAGGCGUCCGGCUAGAACGGGUCCGACGGUGAGGGACGAAGGCCGGGGGAGCAAACCGGAUUAGAUACCCUAGUAGUCC